rnacentral:lncRNA from 1 species
UUUUUUCUUUUUUUUUUUUUUUUUGCCUCUCCCGUGGAUAGAGAAGUUCCCAGGCGAGGGAUCAAACCCGCACCACAGCACAGUGAUAAAGCCAAAUCCUUAACCUGCUAGGCCACCAGGGAACUCCAUCUAGCCUGACUUUUCAGGCAUCAGAAUGCAGAAAAACGAAGCUUGCGUUUGGAGACAAAUUUCCAGCUGUUAUUUGGAGGAUACCUGAAAGGAUGAGGGCUGGAGUCAAGGCUCCUGAAAUAGGGAAAUUGAAAGCUUUUUAACCAUAGCAGGAAGGUGGCGAGGGGCCUCGGCACCCCCAUGGGAAGGGGCCCACCCUGCACGUGCAGAAGCACCCCGAUGCCCGCCUCCCCACCCACACCCCUGUGCCCAGGAAUUAGUUGUAGGAGUCCCAUCAGGUCAGCGGAGUGUGGUCCGUUAAUGAGAUAAAAUCUAAAAGCUUUAUAAACACACUUUAUUUCUAGGCAUGUUUGUGUGAGACAGUGUUUUGGGGGGCUAUUUUUCUUAUUUUCCAAUAAAAUUAAAUAAACACACGUGAGCACACACAUGUUAUUGUGUAAACAGAGCACAGGAAGAUGAGCCAUGCUGGCGGGAUGAGGGGUUGAUGUGAUUUCUCCUGGUUUGAAUGAAGGAAGACUUGGUCCUCCCUCUACCCCUCGCCCUGCUGCAGAGGGCAUCGCUUUUCCGCCCUGCCCGGUAGUCUCUCUAAUCUUCCAAAUUACAUCAGCAUCCCCCGCCCCGCCUCCCCGGAAGCCAUGGGCUGACUCUUUCGGAGGGGACACGGGGAAGAGUGGGACAGGAUGCGGUGGCCAAAGCAAUGACCGAUUUGAGAUUCUGAGUCAUGAAUGAUCAUAAUUAGAAGGCAGACAGAGUGCGCUGCUGGUGCUGCCUUUGCUGCCUGUUCCCUGUGAAAGCUCUGGGAAUUAAAAUAAUGGGCUUUUAAAACAAAAGCCGGGUAGGGCUCUACCUAAUGGCCUGCGCACUGAGCACUGGCAGCAGGCGGCCGCACACGGACCUGUGGCUGACAGGUCCUGCAGAAAACAGAUGGAACUGUCACCUCCGGGAACACCCCCUGGCCCCCAAGGCAAAGGAGCCAGAAAGAGCCCAGGAAGAGAGGGCCCCCGUGACUCAGGCCAGGAAGGAGUCCCAGGAACCCUGCCAGCAAGGGCUGGGGAAUAGGAUGACUUACUGGGGAACGAGGACUGCCAUUACAACCCCAGGCACGCAAGGACAAACACCCAGGAGUUUCUGCGGGGGUACAGUGGGUUUUGAGAACCCAGCUAGGAUCCAGGAGGAUCCAGGUGCCAUCCCUGGCCUCACUCAGUCAGUUAAGGGUCCGGCGUUGCCAUGAGCUGAGGUAUAGGUCACGGAUGUGGCUCGAAUGCUGUGUUACUGUGGCUGUGGUGCAGGCCGGCAGCUGUAGCUCCGACUCAGUCCCUAGCCUGGGAACUUCCAUAGGCUGCAGGUGCAGCCCUAAAAAGCGUAAUAAUAAUAAUAAUGAUAAUGAUGAAAGAAUCUGACUAUAGAGGUCUCAGUCACUGUGGGGAUGUAGGUUUGAUCUCUGGCCCAGCUCAGUGGGUUAAAGGAGCCAGCACAGCUGCAGCUGUGGUAUAGGUCACAGCUGCAGCUCAGAUUUAAUCCCUGAACCAGGAACUUCCAUAUGUCGAGGCUGCGGCUGCUAAAAAACAGAAAAAAAAGGAGUUCCCAUCGUGGCACAGUGGAAACGAAUCUGACUAGGAACCAUGAGGUUGCAGGUUUAAUCCCUGACCUUGCUCAGUGGGUUAAGGAUCCGGCGUUGCCAUGAGCUGUGGUGUAAGUCACAGACACAGCUCAGAUCUGGUGUUGCUGUGGCUCUGGUGUUGGCUGGCAGCUGUAGCUCCGAUUGGACCCCUAGCC